UAACUACUCCCUUCGUUCCGAAUUAUUUGUCGCAGGUAUGGAUGUAUCUAGAUAUAUUUUAGUUCUACAUACAUCCAUUUCUGUGACAAGUAAUUUAGAACGGAGGAAAUAGCUU
rnacentral:pre_miRNA from 1 species